GAUGAACGCUGGCGGCGUGCCUAAUACAUGCAAGUCGAGCGAAUGGAUUAAGAGCUUGCUCUUAUGAAGUUAGCGGCGGACGGGUGAGUAACACGUGGGUAACCUGCCCAUAAGACUGGGAUAACUCCGGGAAACCGGGGCUAAUACCGGAUAACAUUUUGAACCGCAUGGUUCGAAAUUGAAAGGCGGCUUCGGCUGUCACUUAUGGAUGGACCCUCUCCGCAUUAGCUAGUUGGUGAGGUAACGGCUCACCAAGGCAACGAUGCGUAGCCGACCUGAGAGGGUGAUCGGCCACACUGGGACUGAGACACGGCCCAGACUCCUACGGGAGGCAGCAGUAGGGAAUCUUCCGCAAUGGACGAAAGUCUGACGGAGCAACGCCGCGUGAGUGAUGAAGGCUUUCGGGUCGUAAAACUCUGUUGUUAGGGAAGAACAAGUGCUAGUUGAAUAAGCUGGCACCUUGACGGUACCUAACCAGAAAGCCACGGCUAACUACGUGCCAGCAGCCGCCGCCG
rnacentral:rRNA from 1 species